AGCUCCAGUCCCAUGGACAGCUGGCAGAACACUGUGCCAAAUUCAUUCAUGCUGUCAAUUAAUGUUUCUAAACACUUCUUUUUCAGCACCCUGACUUCAAUCGUGUUUUGUACCAAUACUUUCCACACUACUAGACCUUCAAAGGAUAAGAUACCCAGUGUCUUAAAUGGUUACAUACAUAAUUGCUUGCCGGCAGUAGAGCCACUGCCCUAUCAAAAUUAUUAUCAGCAAGUAAAACCAAGAUCUCCAGGUGUUCUGCUUGCGAGGGAGCAUAUUUUAACAUGGGAUGCCAGACAGAUUAGCCAAGGAAUGCAUGUUCAGCAUUACUGCUAGGCAUAUACAAACAGAAAGAAGAAAAUAAGGACAUAUCCUUCAUCUAGAAGAUCCCAAAAACGUAUUGAGCACUUUCAGCCUUUACUUCUCAGGACCAAACCUGGGGAUAGAAACACUGUUUAGUUCUACAAGCUGCAGAAUGAGAGAGAUCUCUCUUCCUCGUUGUAACACUGGGAGCACAAACAGCUGAUAAGAUUAAAACUGAAAGGACUCUGGGCUGGCAGCAGCCAAACACACAGAAGGAUAUUCCAUGAGAUGCAGCAGACACAGCUCCUUCUGUCUAACAUGUAAAUGCAUCACGUCACACCCUGGCCACCAGAGACCCAGGCUCUGUUCCAUCUCUCAUCUCAUAAAUUCUAAUGCUGAAAUUUCUCUACCCAACUGGCAUUGCACUGCCCACAAGUACUUCAGCCCAGAAGCCAAGAGUGAAGAAAUGAGUGAAGCCCACUGCCCCAGAAAGCAGUCUAAAAGCUGGUCACAUGGCAAGGACAAGAUGCACGUCAAGGGAACUGCACAACCCUGUUGCUACUGCAAGAAUUGUUCACUCUCAUGCAAUAAGCAGAAGACAAAACAUGCUGGUAUCUUUUCCCUUCUAACAUCAGAGCAUUAAAUAUAAAAGGUCUUCCACAAAUACACCAUGAAUCAUGCACAGACCAUAGGAUGUAUGGAACAGAAGUGACACACAAUUAGAAAAAAAGGAUAUGAAAAAUGUAGUAGGUGAGGAGUGUUCAGGAGGUGCAGUAUUCAGAAACUGAACUCUUUUGCAAACACACACCUCACAGAAUUCACACUCCUAUCUUCUAGUCUCUUGCAUUUACUUUUUCAUCAAACUGACACAUUUUAAAAGGGCACCUGCACUGAGAUACUGCUUCUUAGGGCCAGAGCCACAUAGGGUCUACAAAUACAGCUGAAUCUGGAUAAAAAUGAGGAAAAACAACACAAGGUUGGUGGGAAUCAGUGAAAAGUGGCAUACCUUGCAUUUGCCACGCCCAGGACACAGGCUGGCUGUUCCUUUUACCAUUAGGCCCAAGCUAGAGAAACAAUAGAUUCUACAAGUAUCAAGAUUGCUUCCAUAGCAGCUCAAAGUCAGGCACCCUCUCUUUUGUAACACCCUCCUCUUUAAGAAAGACUUACAGAUUGCAAAACAACAGGACUAUGCCCUGCAAAUGUUUGCUAAAUAUUUGUGAAGUUUCAUCCAAACACAUGAAUCAAGGCACCACAAACCAGCAACUCCAGGCUCAGCGCAUUAGCCUGGAAAUGAUUUGUUGGCAGUCUGUAGGCAAACAGCAAGAUUUCAAUGCCUGUUUACAUUUUAAGUGCACAUAAGAAAAACAAAUCGAUAGAACUAUGGGUCAAUAUUCACGUAACAUUCCUGAAAAUAUCCAGUGUGCUACACUAGAGGCAUAUUUAGUAACCAUUUUGCCCUUCUGUGGUUCCACUUUCACUUCUCAGCUUUGUUUUAGCUCUUCAGUUAGCAAGCUUUCUGCUGAGGAGAGCCACUGCAUGUCUGCACAGUGCUGUGCUACUGCCAGAGAUGUUGGUACCUGCUUGGAGUACAUUAAGAAUCUCUGUCAUCGUGUAAGGAAACAGAGUAAAAGACCACUCACUGCUUUUCAGCCACACAGGCAGCACCUCUCACUACUCAGUCUCAUCUUCCUUUGAAAACACUGCCAUAUUUUAGACCUUCAGAACUGAGUCAUCAUGCAGCAUAUCAUGUUUCAAUUAAAAAUUAGGGAGAUUU
rnacentral:lncRNA from 1 species